rnacentral:rRNA from 1 species
ACGCGAAGAACCUUACCUGGACUCGAAAUCUAGUUGACAGUCUCAGAGAUGAGAUCUUCCCGCAAGGGACGGCUGGAUAGGUGCUGCAUGGCUGUCGUCAGCUCGUGUCGUGAGAUGUUGGGUUAAGUCCCGCAACGAGCGCAACCCUCACCCUUAGUUGCUCGCCCGCAAGGGAAGCACCCUAAGGGAACCGCCUCGGAUAACGGGGAGGAAGGUGGGGAUGACGUCAAGUCCUCAUGGCCUUUAUGCCCAGGGCUACACACGUGCUACAAUGGCCGGUACAAAGCGUCGCCAACCCGCGAGGGGGAGCCAAUCGCAAAAAACCGGUCUCAGUCCGGAUUGCAGGCUGCAACUCGCCUGCAUGAAGCUGGAAUCGCUAGUAAUCGCGUAUCAGAACGACGCGGUGAAUACGUUCCCGGGCCUUGUA